GAUGAACGCUGGCGGCGUGCCUAAUACAUGCAAGUCGAGCGAACGGACGAGAAGCUUGCUUCUCUGAUGUUAGCGGCGGACGGGUGAGUAACACGUGGAUAACCUACCUAUAAGACUGGGAUAACUUCGGGAAACCGGAGCUAAUACCGGAUGAUAUUUUGAACCGCAUGGUUCAAAAGUGAAAGACGGUCUUGCUGUCACUUAUAGAUGGAUCCGCGCUGCAUUAGCUAGUUGGUAAGGUAACGGCUUACCAAGGCAACGAUGCAUAGCCGACCUGAGAGGGUGAUCGGCCACACUGGAACUGAGACACGGUCCAGACUCCUACGGGAGGCAGCAGUAGGGAAUCUUCCGCAAUGGGCGAAAGCCUGACGGAGCAACGCCGAGUGAGUGAUGAAGGUCUUCGGAUCGUAAAACUCUGUUAUUAGGGAAGAACAUAUGUGUAAGUAACUGUGCACAUCCUGACGGUACCUAAUCAGAAAGCCACGGCUAACUACGUG
rnacentral:rRNA from 1 species